AAAGAUUAAGCCAUGCAUGUCUAAGUAUAAGCAAUUAUACCGUGAAACUGCGAAUGGCUCAUUAAAUCAGUUAUCGUUUAUUUGAUAGUACCUUACUACUUGGAUAACCGUGGUAAUUCUAGAGCUAAUACAUGCUGAAAACCCCAACUUCGGGAGGGGUGUAUUUAUUAGAUAAAAAACCAAUGCCCUUCGGGGCUUCUUGGUGAUUCAUGAUAACUUUACGGAUCGCAUGGCCUUGCGCCGGCGACGGUUCAUUCAAAUUUCUGCCCUAUCAACUUUCGAUGGUAAGGUAUUGGCUUACCAUGGUUU
rnacentral:rRNA from 1 species